UACGAGGGGGGCUAGCGUUGUUCGGAAUCACUGGGCGUAAAGCGCACGUAGGCGGAGUGUUAAGUCGGGGGUGAAAUCCUGAGGCUCAACCUCAGAACUGCCUUCGAUACUGGCAUUCUCGAGUCCGGAAGAGGUUGGUGGAACAGCUAGUGUAGAGGUGAAAUUCGUAGAUAUUAGCUAGAACACCAGUGGCGAAGGCGGCCAACUGGUCCGGUACUGACGCUGAGGUGCGAAAGCGUGGGGAGCAAACAGG
rnacentral:rRNA from 1 species